GUGGCCUUGACCAUAUACGGAGCGCUGACGGUUCCUGUCAAGCAGCGGCGCUCCACUGUACGGUACAGCCCUAUAGUGCAGCAGGCAGAGAACACUCAUUCGCUCCACUUUUCCUCUUGCUUAGGCCCUAUAUGUGGAGCCAUCUGGACGUGGAGAGAGAGAGUCAGCUGCUCCACACACUGAGGCGCGGAGCCUGAAUCCGCCUCAGCUCAUUCUGUGGGAUCAUCUGCGUGGUGGGCUUACACCGUGGAAAAUGCGCUCUCCAUCAUUAGGUGAAAUGUUAGCAUCAAAAUAAAGGAAAUGUUGAUCCCCCGUUUGUUUUAAUGGCUGCGUGCAGGACAACUUUGCACGGGCGUGGAAUUAGAGGAUGUUAGUCACAUGUCACCGUUCCUCACCUUUGAAAUAAAGCGCUUUGCGCUGGAGGUAAGUGGCGGGUGACAAGUGGGGAAACAAGUGAAAACUAUUUGCUUGAUCUCGGCAUCUCGGCCGCAGCGUCUGGCUGAAUGCUCCUUUAAAUGACCAAUUGAUGACACGGGGGCCUGUUAUCCCACUCUUCUAUUCAGUGGCCACAAUGAAUGAACCCCCAAAGACCUGAGCCCGAUCACCGAUAUAAAACCAAACUCCUCGGGACGCGUGGCUCCCAAUAAAAAUGUACACGGUGACUUCGCGGACCUCCCGUCUCGACGGAGCGAGCCUCCUCCGUAUUGAGGGCGACGUCUUCUUUUUUGUGUGAAUUUACGGGGCGAAGCCCUCGUGAUCUCCUUACAUUUGCAUGUAAAUGGCGACAUCAGCCUAUACGCGUGCCAGGGGCCAGCGGGCCUCCCAGAUGUCAAGGCAAAGUCAAUCAGCCGGCCGCUGCCCAGCUGUCCGUCGAUGGACUUUAUUGGGACAACACUUUCAUUAUGCUCAUCUGAGUUGUUUCCUAAUAGAUUGAUUGGAGAAAAUGGGAGAGAGAAAUCUUAUUAGCACACUCACCAAGUAGGUUCGCUCACGGCUUCAUCACAGAGGUUAUUUUAAAUGAUCUUUUGUCUAUUAAAUAUUAAUCAAAUACGCCUACAGUUACGCAGCAUUUCAAAUUCCAUAUGGAACAAAUAGGCAGAGAGCCCACGUAUUGUUCACAACAACCCAACUGUCUAUUGUUCAGACUUUGAUAUGUGUGCAUUUUCUUGAAUGUAUUUCUUUAUUUGCCUCCUGCUCAUUUUUGCUGUUUAAAAUAAAUGACACGCGCAAAAAACACUUUGAAAUGCAACAUUUGUGUUUAAAUUUUCUAUACUUAUAACUGUGCUUGUGAAGAAUCGUCUCCACUUUACGUGUCGACGGCUCCUAUUAAAAUGAAGGAAAUUACAUAUUGUAAAGUAUUACUGUUUUGUUGUGUUUAUUUUACAAUAAAAUAAAAAAAGAAUCUUGUAAA